rnacentral:misc_RNA from 1 species
CACCACUCAAGCCUGGCUUGGUAUUGGGCGCCGCGGGGGUAGAUCUCCCGCGCGCCUCAAAGUCUCCGGCUGAGUCGUCCGUCUCCCAGCGUUGUGAUCCAUGAUCGCUCCGGAGUGCGGGCGGCCGCGGCCGUUAAAUCUUUACACAA